rnacentral:lncRNA from 1 species
GGAGAAAUUGCUGAGAAUUCAAGAACAGUGUUGGGAAGCUUCUGAGUUGCAAGAACAGUAGUGCGCGUGGGUCUCACGCACCACCUCCACGUGCCGUCGCUGGUGAAGACAAGAAAAUUGAUUGACCGGGAGUGAUUUCUUCUCUUAUUUCUUCCUAUGCUAGAGGUGAGAGAUACCGCCACCUAAAAAACCCAAAAAAUCACACAAAUAAAUCUAUCGGGUUUAAUUUUUUUCUUAGAUUCACCUCUCUCUUUCUGUACUGUAACUUAUAUUCUUCUGUUUUCAUAUAUACUCCUCUCUAUUAUCUAUAAAUUAGGGUUGUUGUGGAUGGAGGGAGGCUAAUGACGCUGCCACAAGAAAGAGAGAAGAAAAGGGAAACGGCUAUAUUGUCUUGACUAACAACGGGGGAGGAAGUGAUGAUGGAUUGCAUAUUGCUUGCGAUGCGGCUACGAUUAUGGCCUAUACUUGUCGCGGGUACGUUGAUAAUGAGUCGAUAAUGGGUUGGUUUGGUAGAGAGAGAGCUAUUUUUUUCUUUAUAUGGGUAAGGCUGGAUGGGAGCUGUUUUUGGACAAAUAAGGAGUUGCAGGAGAUAGUGAUGGAAUCUAUUGGUGGGGUGCUAGUUUUAGGGAAACUAUAGGAGAGUUUGAGGUCUAUGGUUGGGUAUGACAGUCGAUGAUUUUGAACUUAUUUGAUUAAUGGUGGAGAGAGAUUGAUUGACUCAUGGUGAAAUUUUUAGUUGUGACCGAGAGAGGGAGAGGAGGGGUUGUCAAUGUGAGGAUGGUUAUUGAGGUUUCUAUUGAUUAUGUUGGUUAUGGUCUCUAGCUAGGAGAGUGGUAGUUGGCCUGAUUGGUUUUGUGAGAAAGGGAUCGAUGACGAAAUGGAAAGCUGGGUUUGGCGUUGUUGCUUUUGUGAGACUAUCAAGGGGGGCUAGAAUGACAGUUCUAGUGGUGGAUUUCUGGAUUGGUAUAGGUUGAAUGGUUUGCUAAGAUAUUGACAAUGGUGGAUGAUCCAAGGCUGAGGAGGGGAUCCGUGGUUGUCUAUGGCUAGUUUUGUAUUUUUUUUCUUUGCCUUUCCGGCUGAUAAGGGUAUAAAAGGUUUUAGGUUUUCUUUUGUGUUGUGUGGGUGUAGGGAGAGAAUGUGUGAGUGAUUUUUCUUUAACCCCCUCCCCCCAAGCAUCAUUGGAUUUCAAGAAUAACUCACAAUCAUUCAUUUCUUAACUUGGA